rnacentral:rRNA from 1 species
UACGUAGGGUGCGAGCGUUGUCCGGAAUUAUUGGGCGUAAAGAGCUUGUAGGCGGUUUGUCGCGUCUGCCGUGAAAAUCCGGGGCUCAACCCCGGACUUGCGGUGGGUACGGGCAGACUAGAGUGUGGUAGGGGAGACUGGAAUUCCUGGUGUAGCGGUGAAAUGCGCAGAUAUCAGGAGGAACACCGAUGGCGAAGACAGGUCUCUGGGCCACUACUGACGCUGAGAAGCGAAAGCGUGGGGAGCGAACAGG